rnacentral:rRNA from 1 species
UCGAGAAUCUUCGGCAAUGGACGAAAGUCUGACCGAGCGACGCCGCGUGCGGGAUGAAGGCCUUCGGGUUGUAAACCGCUGUCAGUUGGGAGGAAGGCUCCGUGAAGAGCGGAGCUUGACCGAUCUUCAGAGGAAGUACGGGCUAAGUUCGUGCCAGCAGCCGCGGUAAGACGAACCGUACAAACGUUAUUCGGAAUCACUGGGCUUAAAGGGUGCGUAGGCGGCACUGCAAGUUGGGUGUGAAAUCCCACGGCUCAACCGUGGAACUGCGCUCAAAACUGCAGUGCUAGAGGGAGAUAGAGGUGAGCGGAACUUAAGGUGGAGCGGUGAAAUGCGUUGAUAUCUUAAGGAACACCCGUGGCGAAAGCGGCUCACUGGAUCUUUUCUGACGCUGAGGCACGAAAGCUAGGGUAGCGAACGGGAUUAGAUACCCCCGUAGUCC